AUGAACGCUGGCGGCGUGCCUAAUACAUGCAAGUCGCGCGAACGGACGAGAAGCUUGCCUCUCUGAUGUUAGCGGCGGACGGGUGAGUAACACGUGGAUAACCUACCUAUAAGACUGGGAUAACUUCGGGAAACCGUAGCUAAUACCGGAUAAUAUUUUGAACCGCAUGGUUCAAAAGUGAAAGACGGUCUUGCUGUCACUUAUAGAUGGAUCCGCGCUGCAUUAGCUAGUUGGUAAGGUAACGGCUUACCAAGGCAACGAUGCAUAGCCGACCUGAGAGGGUGAUCGGCCACACUGGAACUGAGACACGGUCCAGACUCCUACGGGAGGCAGCAGUAGGGAAUCUUCCGCAAUGGGCGAAAGCCUGACGGAGCAACGCCGCGUGAGUGAUGAAGGUCUUCGGAUCGUAAAACUCUGUUAUUAGGGAAGAACAUAUGUGUAAGUAACUGUGCACAUCUUGACGGUACCUAAUCAGAAAGCCACGGCUAACUACGUG
rnacentral:rRNA from 1 species